UUUCUCUAAUAUCUUGCUCCCCAAGCAUCACAGAGAAGGGAGAGAAUCUAGAGGACAGGAAGGAGAAUCAAGAGCUGUUACUUUUGUAUCUGAGAUUGAGAAAUGGAUCCCAAGCAACCAGUGGUUUUGCAGCUUUUAGAGAGCUUGAAAGAGUCAUACAUGAGCAAUGAUUUCAAGACAUGUCAACAACUGUUGGGUCAGAUCAAGGAAAUUGUGGAUCAAAAGGCAAGUCUUCAUGAAACCAACAAUCGAGAACCAAAUAAAGAUGACUGGCCAAGGAACGAGAGAACUACUUUGAAUUCAGUAAUUCAGUAAACUUAUGUAAUUCAGUAAAAUUAUGUAAUUCAACAACGAGUAUACUGAUUCGGUG